GUGCGGGGAGGAACCGAGGGGUGUCUGGGGCAGGGCUAGGGUGGGUUAGGGGAAAACGCUGAGUGGAGUGGGGACACAGCUAAUGGAACGCUUUCAUUUUAGUUCUUUUCCGUUGCGAUAGGAGCCAUGAUGGCAGCACGAAAAGCAAAAACUAUUGGCGUAAGUUUGUUGAGGGCGGUGCGGUCUUGAAUAUCUAUUCAAGAGCCCUAUCAGAAAGGCCACCACUGUGCAAUUCCUCGUUAGUAUAGUGCUAUAAGUACCAAAACCGAAAUAAAACAUUAACAUCUGAGAAGCGAAUUAUGACACGUGCACUGACCACAGUGGCAAUAAUAGAACAGCGGCAAGUCUACUGUGAAAAUCAAAGGAAUGUUGAAAGAUGCUUGGCAAUUUAAUUCUAAACAACUUUUAAGGAGACCUGAGAAAUGAGAAACAGCCUGUGUUAUUCAACAAAACAGAUCACACCAGAUUA
rnacentral:lncRNA from 1 species